UCACGUGACCGAUAUGGCGGAAAUAGACGAAAUAGUUCCACUAUUUGAUACUCAUUUGUUUUUUCAUUGCUCUAAAUUAAGAGAUUAUCUCUAUCGUAAUUUAAUUACAACUUUAAAAUUUAAAUGUCGUUUUUUAUGCUUAAUAAUGAUGUUUAUUUUCUGACGAAUAUUUUUUCUCAAUCACUCGUAAAUAUAUUUAAGAAGCGAGUCGUGGGGGUCGUCCAUUUUGGUUUUAUUUCUUUGUAAACUUGAAUCGAAGUGUUUGAAAAUUUCGCAAAGUCUGUGCAAAACUCAAAGUAACGGGUUAAUUUGUACUAUUUACCACAUCUAAGAACCAGUGUUACAGAAUUAUAUGAGUUAAGUUGGAAUCUAAUGAGGUGAAUAGAUUCUGCAUUUAGUAAGUGAGACCAGAGUAGUUUCCUUCCAGUUGUGCAGCAACGACUUCACUUACAGAUUUAAACAAAACACCAUGGAGGAGGUGAUGUUAAGAAGGCUAAAAAUAAUAUGUGGCGAAAUAGAGAAAAUAAAUAAGCAAGCCAACAACAUAUUGGUCUCAGUCUCUCUUCUGGAGUCUAUGUCAACACAAGAAGUUGAAAUCAUUGUUCAGAAAUUAGAAACCGUCAUAAAGAGAUUCUGCGAUGAAUUGAAUAAUUAUUUUAGAAUAGCUCAGGAGCCUGCGGCUGAUGAUAUUUCAAGUAUGAGCAUUAUUCAACUU